GCCUGGAUAGCUCAGCUGGUUAGAGCAUGGUGCUCAAGACGCCAACGUUGCAGGUUCAAUCCCUGUAUGGGGCA